rnacentral:rRNA from 1 species
AAUGAACGCUGGCGGCAUGCCUUACACAUGCAAGUCGAACGGCAGCAUGACCUAGCUUGCUAGGUUGAUGGCGAGUGGCGAACGGGUGAGUAAUGCAUCGGAACGUGCCUUUUAGUGGGGGAUAACGUAGCGAAAGUUACGCUAAUACCGCAUAUUCUCUGAGGAGGAAAGCAGGGGACCUUCGGGCCUUGCGCUAGAAGAGCGGCCGAUGUCGGAUUAGCUAGUUGGUGAGGUACAGGCUCACCAAGGCAACGAUCCGUAGCGGGUCUGAGAGGAUGAUCCGCCAAACGGGGACUUGGACACGGCCCAGGCUCCUACGGGAGGCAGCAGUGGGGAAUUUUUGACAAUGGGCGCAAGCCUGAUCCAGCCAUGCCGCGUGAGUGAAGAAGGCCUUCGGGUUGUAAAGCUCUUUCGGCUGGGAAGAAAUCGCACCCUCUAAUACAGGGUGUGGAUGACGGUACCAGCAUAAGAAGCACCGGCUAACUACGUG